rnacentral:rRNA from 1 species
CAAAGGAGCAAUCCGCUGAAAGAUGGGCUCGCGUCCGAUUAGGUAGUUGGUGAGGUAACGGCCCACCAAGCCGACGAUCGGUAGCCGGACUGAGAGGUUGGACGGCCACAUUGGGACUGAGACACGGCCCAGACUCCUACGGGAGGCAGCAGUAAGGGAUAUUGGUCAAUGGGGGAAACCCUGAACCAGCAACGCCGCGUGAGGGAAGACGGUUUUCGGAUUGUAAACCUCUGUCCUCUGUGAAGAUGAUGACGGUAGCAGAGGAGGAAGCUCCGGCUAACUACGUGCCAGCAGCCGCGGUAAUACGUAGGGAGCGAGCGUUGUCCGGAUUUACUGGGUGUAAAGGGUGCGUAGGCGGCUGUGCAAGUCAGUAGUGAAAUCCAUGGGCUUAACCCAUGAACUGCUAUUGAAACUGCACAGCUUGAGUGAAGUAGAGGUAGGCGGAAUUCCCGGUGUAGCGGUGAAAUGCGUAGAGAUCGGGAGGAACACCAGUGGCGAAGGCGGCCUACUGGGCUUUAACUGACGCUGAGGCACGAAAGCAUGGGUAGCAAACAGGAUUAGAUACCCUGGUAGUCCACGCUGUAAACGAUGAUUACUAGGUGUGGGGGGACUGAACCCUUCC